UGGGGAAUAUUGGACAAUGGACCAAAAGUCUGAUCCAGCAAUUCUGUGUGCACGAUGACGUUUUUCGGAAUGUAAAGUGCUUUCAGUUGGGAAGAAAAAAAUGACGGUACCAACAGAAGAAGUGACGGCUAAAUACGUGCCAGCAGCCGCGGUAAUACGUAUGUCACAAGCGUUAUCCGGAUUUAUUGGGCGUAAAGCGCGUCUAGGUGGUUAUGUAAGUCUGAUGUGAAAAUGCAGGGCUCAACUCUGUAUUGCGUUGGAAACUGCAUGACUAGAGUACUGGAGAGGUAAGCGGAACUACAAGUGUAGAGGUGAAAUUCGUAGAUAUUUGUAGGAAUGCCGAUGGGGAAGCCAGCUUACUGGACAGAUACUGACGCUAAAGCGCGAAAGCGUGGGUAGCANACAGGAUUAGAUACCCUGGUAGUCCACGCCGUAAACGAUGAUUACUAGGUGUUGGGGGUCGAACCUCAGCGCCCAAGCUAACGCGAUAAGUAAUCCGCCUGGGGAGUACGUACGCAAGUAU
rnacentral:rRNA from 1 species